CGGCCGGGGCAGGCAGGCAGGAGCAGGCACUUAUGAGCAGGGCUGUCUGUGGAGGUGAGAGCUGAGUGUGCCUGCAGGCCCUGGGCAGUGCAGCUCCCAUUCUCCUGGACAGCACACUCCUCUGGGCCUGCCCAGCCCCCUCAGGCACACUCAGCCUUCUGCUUGCUGUGAACUGGCAGUCAGGAGAAGUGUGCUGUAUUUCACAGGUCCUACUCGGUUACUGUGUGUAAAGUAGUAACUCUUGAUACUGUGGGAGGAACAUUAUUGAACAGGGGUGAGAAAAAGCAAGUGAAAGAACAGUUCCUUGCACUGUCCUCUGGGGGACUGCUAAAGAAAACCUGGUUCCAGGGUUCUGAGACAGAUAAUAGCUAAAGAAACAUGUCCAAAAGCUUGGUUUUGUUGUUAAUUUAUUUUCUGUUUUCUGUUUCUAGGAGGUAUAGUAUGAGUCCAAUACUGAGCAACAAAGCUGUUUGUUAAAGUAAUCUCCGCACCCUGGAAUUGUACUUUUCCAGGAGUGACUGUGGCUGGGUGCAGAAGGAACACUUGCUGUUUGCCUGUAUGUAUCUGUACCCCCAAGUGGGACAACUGAGGAACUCAGAAACAAUGGCACUGGGACGGUGCUGGGAUGUCUGAGCCUGAUUCCUUACGUCCAUUCCCUCACUCACUCAGAGGUCUCUCAUUAUUGUGGUUUUUGAAACUGCUUGGGAAAUCCGAACUGAGAGGAACAGAACCUACAGCGUUUCUCUUAAGCAAAGUUUGAAGCAGUACUUUGUGCAGAGCUACCAGUCUCAUUCAAAGCAAACCCAAAAAAUCUAAAUGACAGAAAUGAUCUCUAAACAUCACUGAAAUGUGAUUUUGGUUUAUUUCACCUCUGACUGUGGCCCUCAAAGGAAGGAAAUGUUAUCACAACAAACGUUUCCAGAAAUCUCAAAAUCAGCAAAAGCUCUGCUCAAUCUGAAGAUACCAAUUUCCUAUGAUUUGAUCAUGAUUUGAGCAGCAAACCAUCUCUCCACUGCUGUUACCCAGCCUACAUGGCCUCCUGGAUCUGUCUCACGUUGCUGCAGAUGUGUGCUGGCUUCUGGUUUUGAGACAUGGUAGAAAAGAGAUACACUUGCAUGUAUUUUGUGGUGAAAAUAAUAGCAGGAAGGAAAGGAAAUUUAAUCACUUCUUUCAUAAAGCAUGAGAGAAAAAAGUCCCACACACCUCAUUGUCUCUUUUAGGUGACCUUAUUGCAUUUUUCUGAAGCUAGAAGGCAAGUUAAAAAGAAAAUCUAGCCUACUUAAACACUUGCACUUCUUCAGGAAGAGUUCAAGAUAUAGUGCAAGGCACAAUUAACAUUGGCCCUGGCAGUAGCUGUAAAGUGUAUGCUUAAAAUGAGUCAUGGAAAAAAAUAUACCAAGUAGUUUUACUAUUACUGUCAAAAAUACACUUUAUUACUAAAAAAAAUAAGAAGACUUAAUUUAUUCUAAUUAGGACACCUGCUUUAGAGAGGAGCAUGUAAAAUAGCAGCAAAGCACUGAUGAAUUUUUGAACCAUGAAUUACUUUUAUUACCACCUGAAGCCCAUAUUUAACCUCCUGAGUACAGCAAUCAGGAUAGAUGAUGUAAGAGGGGACUUCUAUAUUAGUUGUGCCUGAAACAUUAAUGCCUUCUAGGUUUCUUUUCUCAAUAUACAAGCAAAUGGAAAAAAAAAUGCAGAAAUAAAGGAUACUGUGGUAGACAAUAAGAAAUGAGGUGACAAAACUAGUGAGAACUGCAAUAAGAUAAGGGAUGCAGCUGAUGAAAGUGUGGUCACAAAGACUGUAAAGAGAAUGGGUGUGAUUAAUGAGCCAGCCUGCAAUGCCAAUUGCAUUAGUGACGGGAACAUGGGGAAAAGUGGAGAAAUGGGAGCUUCUGGGGCAGAAGCUGAGGGUGGAUAUCUAGGAUGGCAAAAACCACAGUGGAAUAAAGGAUUUAAUUGCAAUUUCGAAACUGAAGGACCUGUGCAAAUCAGGAGAAACAGAAAAUGCAUCUAAUGGGAUGGAAGCAAGAUGGCAAAGUGUGGCUGAAAUAGAAACUUCUGGACUCAAAAUGCUUAGGGCAAGAAUGGUAAGGUAGUUUCAAGCUACAAAUGUCACUGAAUUGUUAUCAACUACAAGUUAAGGAGAAUUUAAAGAGAAGGAUAGAAAUAGGUAUGUAAAUAAGUAUGAUUGAGUUGGAAACCCUACACUAGAGGGCUGAGAAAAGCACCCUGGAAUGGGGCUGCCCUGCUCUCUACAGAGGCAGCAUGUAAACAGGGAUGGCUGGGAGCAGGGUCAGCCUCUGUGGGACACAGGGAUUUGGUGAGCUGGCAGCUCAAAGAUAGGAGCAAAGUAUUUUAGAACAAGAGGAAAAUAUUUUAGAGGCCAUUGUAAGAGCUGACUGAGGAAAAAAUGGGCUGGCUGACAGUAGCAGAGCUGGGAGGGCAGUGUGGAAAUGGCAGAGAAACUUUCAAGGAGCUGAGGAGGGAAUUUUUGUUGCAGAAAUGCCUCAGCUUGUGCAGUGGUGGAUGUGCCUGGACACAGUUAAGUGCCUCCCUUAGUCAUGGGUUAAGAACAACAAAUUAAGAGGAUUAAGAAGGAUGUUUGAGGACUCUUUGGGAUUGCUCUGUUAUUGUAGGGCUGAGUAGCUGAGGCUCUGUGGCAUUACUAUUGGGGAAAGAAAGAAUGACUAAUAAAGCUAGGGCAGUGUCCAUUGUAUUAAGGCUCUUGAGUCCAAAAUAGCUUUGAAAAGAUGUCAGCUACUCCAGAGCAUUUAAAUACUAGCAGUGUCCUCAAGUUACAGGUAGAAAUCUCAUCUGGAGUUUAUUUUAGGAACAACAGAAAAAGCCUUCAAGGCAAAGGGCUGUGUGUUCAAAUGGGUUAUGAAAUCACUGAAAUGAAAUUGGAAGUUAUGAGUUAAAGUAACGCAGAAGAAUAUAACCAGAAAAUUAAGCUACAGCACAAAAAGUCAGGACAAAGUGAUAAUUACUUCAUCAUAUUGAUCUGGAUACCAGUGUGGCUGAAGAAGAGCAAAAAACCUUGUCAGUGACAUAUGGAAAAGAAGAGAGGGCUGCAGACAUUACUCAUGGCCCUAAAAUAAAAUUGCCUGUUUUCAGCAAGGGAGAGAUUAUUGACCUGAGAACAAAACUGGGUAGCUGAUGAGAUGGAAAUACAUUCGAGGUAGAAAAAAAUCUGGAACAAAUCACAACAAAGAAAGCAGGGAAUUUCUUCAAUGACUUGGUCAUGUGUUAGAAACAAGCUCUGAAGGAGAGCACUGAGCUCAGACCUGCAGGUGAGUCCCAGGAUGUCAGCUGGGGUACCCUGGGAGGCUGGGUGUGGACCUGCUGCCUGGUCUAGUUUGAAAUAAAAGCUGAUGUCUCAAAGCACAGUGAGCACUCAACCCUCAGAGCAAAAGGGCAGUGUGCUGGAGCAGUGGGCACUAGACCAAAAACAAUAAGCUUGCUGCUGGAUAGUUCAGUCAUCCUAAAAGGCAGGUAUGAUACCAUAGCCUGAUCCAAUUGCCUAAUGCAGCAGGGAACUCAGCUCUGUCAGCUCCUUGCUGACUUUUUCUUCUGUAGCCAAUCAUGAUAUUCAUUGCAGGUGUAAGAUGCUACUGCUCUGACUUCAUUAUUCGGUGGCUUAAAUGCUUUGACCUAGGUUUCUUGAUCCUUGAUUCUGUCCUGUCUAAAAUGAAAUCUCUACCCAGAAAACACCCUGAAGCAGCACUUCAGAGCUCUGUGACAACCAAUGAGCCUUAUCAGGUCAAUGAAUUAAAGCUGCAGCAGAACUUAUUAUCCAGAGCCUUGCAAUCAGUGAUACAAUGUAAAGUCAAUUUUAGAAAACUUUCUGUGCUUCCAAAAGACACCUGCAGGAUAUAAAGUUAUUCUAGUUUCUUCUAAUUUUUGUACACAAGGUACCGGAAGACAACUGGAAGGGUUUCUCAUAUGUUUCUCUCACCAUCAAUGCAUUUGCAGCCAUUUGCUGCAACUACACAGUUGUUGAAAAUAUUUGUUGAAAUUUAUUGAAUAUGAUAAAACCAUAUAAUUUUCCUUGGAGCCUAACCACUGGAACAGUGGGUUAAAUUAAAGGCAGGUCUUUGCUAACCUGUUUCUCUGAAUCUGUCACAUUUCUCUCUCCACUUGUGGUGGGAGGAGGUCCUCAAAGAAAGGAUAUUUGGACAAAACCACUGAUUUUGAAUAGGUCAGUCAAAACCACACACUUGCUGUAGAGCAGCCACUAUGUGAGAUUUAGGGUGGGAUUUAUUUUUUUUUUUUAUAGUAUCUGCAUCUUUUUUUACCUCUGGAAGGUGUCUGUUCUUGGGUAAUCUUUGUUCUUUAUGCAUUCAUGCACUUGUUUUUGGAAUUGACUAUUUUUAUGUUCUCAUGUAAUAGAGUUGCUGCCCCUCAGCUCUGGACCACACUGUACUGGCAUUCAGUACUUUUGCCUAAAGUCACACACUCAGAAGUGAGACCACAGUAGGAUUGUGUGUACCUUUUCCAAGGAACCAGAGGUGCUGGCUGCACUCUUGUUGCUGCACAGAUCAUUCAGCCCUUGCUUCUAAGCAGAAAUUUGCCCAGCAUGCAUUGAUUCCACACUAAGAAGUCUCUGCCCUGACCUUUUAGGCAGAUAUGAGUCUCCCAGCUGGUUCUCCAGAGCUGGUUCAGAACUGAGUCUCCAAAGAACAGUAAAUGCUCUAAUACUUUUGUUCUGAAAACUGUGAGAAAACAGCUUCAUCAGAAAUAAAAACUAAUCACAAAGUGCUGUUAAUGAGCUGUAAAUGACCGAGUAUUCCUAUCCAAGUUCAUUUGAUUGUGUAACACUGUUGAUAUCCCAGAAAAGCCACACCUUUGGAUGAGGGGAAAUGCUCAAGGUGGAAUCAGUAGAGGUAAUUUGUGAGCAUCUGAGGAGCAUCAAGGAGCAGAACCGUUCCAUGGUGGUAUCAGAGGCGAGUGUCACAGGAAUGCGAAUCUGUCCACAUCUCAAAUCAGAGAGAACAUGAAGUAUUAAACAUAGACUUUUUAAUUAUCCAUCUCUGAAAUCUCACAAGCUGCUGUUGAUUAUUAACUCUCACACUUGUGGGUGUCCAUGGGGCUGUUAAAUAUAUGUUGCACUGCUUUAUUUGUUUCAGAAAAAGGAAGGCAAAAUGGAUGGACUAGAAAAAGAGAAUAAAGAUCCUUUAGGCAAUUUUUUUUCUACGUCCCAGGAGAGAGCUGAGAGCUCAUGGGUUCUGAUCCAGAUCAGCAGGGUGUUAUAACACAGAAAUAAAACGUUGUGCUUUGAAUGAAACAAUGUGUUGUAUAAGUCAAAUUAGGAUUCAACACUGGAUCACAACAUUUUAAACCUUUUAAUUUACAUUCGUAAGGUGAUCCAGCUCAAGACACAUUUGACAACAAAAGAAAAAAUAACCUUUUUGAACACAUACUUCCUGUUAGCUCCUUAAUAGACUUUUUCUCUUUUCAAAGCUGAAAUAAAUAAAAGAUGGGAAAAAAUCAAUAUGUAAACAGGUGAAGAAAUUUAUUGGCUGAGAGUGUGGGCAGAACUAAUUUAGAUAAGGCUAUGCUUCUGCAGUAAUCCAAGGUUUCAAAAUAACCUCCUUUGCAAAUGUUUGACCUUAAUAAACCACAGUGGAUGAAGAUGUACCAGAAAAGUUUGCUUCACUUCUGGUACUUAUUGAUUAACUAAAAACAUAGGUAUUAUUUGCUUUAAUCAAUUUUUCUUUUUUUUUUUUUUAAAGACUUGUUAGCCUAAAUGUUAUUCCUGGAACAAGAUACCAGUUCUUUGACCAGUAUCUCAUUUAGAGGUUUGAUUUGGAAUUUUGUAGGAGAAAGCAUUUUUAUCCCAUUGGUUUCAGCUCUAUGGAAGUUCAAUAGUGAGGAUCUUUUUUUUGUUUUUUGAGACAAGCAGUCCAUUAAAAGAACUUGAAAUGUGAUUCUUUAUAAACAAUUUUCCCAUUUGAAGAUAGAACUUUAGGCAGGGCUCUAUUUCAGCCAAAGACAGGAUUGAGAGAGCCUUCAUAGUGGGACCUAAAGAAGAUAUGUGCUGGAACCAUGUGCUGUUGGACUCUGGCCUCAGUGAGCUGUUUGGGCUUGUAAUCUCCAAUUCUUUAUGUCAGUCCAGCUUGCAGGAUUCCCAGCUGAAGCCUGGGAAGACCUGGCUGUCCCAACAGAUCAGUCUGCAAUACAAUAAACAGCAUUUCCCACUGGUCUUUUGGGGGAAACAACAGUGGAGGUAAAUACAGGAAUUCUGGGAUGGCUCUGAAAAGCACUGUAGCUAAUGGGAACAGCUGGAAUCUUGGUCUGUCUUGGUUAUUCAACAAGUUUGGAACUGCAAAGCCUGUCUCUGAUCCUACAGUUGUGCUGUUCAUGCCUUGCUUGUGCCUCCCAAACAGCCAGGAGGCAGCUGCUACUUUGUGCACCUUUGUCAGCUGCAUUUCUCAUCAGCCUUGACAAGUGGCCAAGUAUUCUGCAGGGCACUGCUUUCCACAUGGCGUCCUUGCAGCUGAAUGAGAGGGAAAAAUGGUCAGGAGAUCCGUCUCUACACACCCAUGCACGGUGUUUGGAGGGGCACUUCUUACAUUCUGGGUGAUGUUUAGUCCUGAGACAGGUAGCAGGGUGUUUUCACUAUAUGUUGCACUGAGUUGGAGACACCAGGAAGGUGACUGAAUGAAUGAUACAGAAUUAGAUAGGCUGGGAAAGACCUUUGAGAUCAUCAAAUCCAGCCUUUUCAUGUCUUGGUAAGAAAGAUGUGCAGAUUUCCUUAUUCCAAGCAGUAAACAGACUCUGAAUUGCCUUUGUAAACAUUCACAAUGUAUUCUAGCCAUGCUCCUAAGCCUUCCAACUCAUGUGGAAUAAAGGAAUUGUUCUUGUGGAGCUGAUAAAGGAAUUUGUAUGAAUGCAAGCUGGUGGAUUGGAAUCUUUCAACAGCUCAACAGGGCCAUUCCUUUUGCUUGUGCUUCCAGGAGAAGUCAGGGAGUUAACCUGUACAGAAGACAUCCUAACUGCUGCUCUUUCUCAUAAAACAAUUAUAUCUGACAAUACACCUGUUAAAAUAUUGUCAGAUUGGGGUAAACAACAACAACAACAACAACAACAACAAAAAUCAAUGAUUCCACAGAAAUCGUUGCACCUUUCAUGACUUAUUACAGACCCAGGGUAUCAGACUUUCAGCCUACCACCCACAAAGAUACUUGGUUGUUCAAGAAGUAUAAAGACAAAUAAGGCAAGAAUGUUAUUUUAGUAGAGCUUGCCCUGUAGUCCAGCAUCAUCUAAGAUUUUAUUACUUAUUUGUCUGAGUGGCUGUGCAAACUUUAUGAAACUUUAGCAUUUAAAACUCAAGUAAAAAUGAGUAAUAUUUAAUUGGUGUCUUUUUCUAUACCAUACUGGGCCUGUCACCACUGAUUUUAAAUAAAUGACUAGACUAGCAAAAAUCUUAAAUUUUCUCACAUCCUCUGCUGCCUCAUUAUAAAGACAUUUCAGACAAGAAUACCAUAAUUUUUUUUCAAGUCCUUUUAUUUCCUCAGACAGUAACAAACAUGGGGGGAGAGGCUCUUGGCUGAACCUGUCAGCCAUGCAUGGGAGAACAUGAAUCUUGACUUAUCAACAGUCAUCAGAUCUCUCAAAACUUAAGUUCUACCUUGGGUAAUAUACACAUAUUAUUUCAGACCACUGACUAGCAGUAUAUCAUCAGAAGAGGAGAGGAGCUUGAGAUCUGUUUCCUUCACACAUUGGCAAUAAAAAAAUCACUGCUUUUUUAUGUUCUUUCACACUUCUUGAAACAAAAUUCUCUCACAGAUGUUUUGUUCAGAGCUUGGCUUGAUGAGCAAAGACAUAUGUGAGGAACACAUGAAUCAGCAUCUUCACAUUCAGACUUGUUUACUGCCACGUGUGGAAAGUCUUGGCCAGGAGGUAAGGGGCUUUACCACCAGUGACAAAAGUGUGACUCUCUGUGAUAGAGUAUUUUCCUCUGGUUCUAGUACCAGGAAUUUCUGCAGUUUUCUUUUCAGUCCUGUACAGCUGUGUGAUGAGACAGUCCAGCGGGAGUGAAGGCAAGGGUUCAAUGAAUUCAGCCCUCAGGUUUCCCUGGUGGAGACUGGGCACUGAGGGAGGCUGGCUGCUGACAGGGAGGGUGAGGAACACACCAAUCCACUGCUUCCUUUAGAGAUGGUCCCAUAGCUGUAAUCACAAAAUGAAUAAUUUCAUAGAGCUAUGAUGUCAGUGUCAGUAAUGGGAAUGAAAUUAUUUCCUGCAGGAAUGGUGAGAGCUCAGUUCACCGUGGCAAACCCCAUCUCAGAGGUCCCUCAGCCGCACAGCAUUGCUACAGGCAUCACUGGAUGUGGGAGCUCAGCAAAGUUCCCACAAAUCCCUUUAAGAUUAUCAGUCUUGGAAAGGUCAUAAAUCCCAGCCUGGGAUAGCUGUGGGAAUGCCAGUCCCAGUUAUUGCCUGAAUACAACUCUGUUUCGAAAGGGAAAGGUUGCUGCUGGUUUAAGGGCCUUUCUGUGACUGGCCCCAUGAAGAAGGUGAAGUGUUUCUGAAGAGAGGGCACUCAGCCACACCACAGGAUUCACCACUGGCCCUUGACCUGAGGGGCUCUUGGUUGCUGGAAGUUUUGUCAUCCUGUACCAAAGCUGUAAAAUCUCAGUCUGGGAAAGCAUCACAGCAUGUUACCCCACUGAUGUCACAUAUUGCUUGUGCUACUCCAAAAAGUCACUGUAAUGGGUGCAGAGCAGGGCUGUGCAGCUUGGGCACUCCUGUUCUCCUGUCUUUUGGACAGCAAUGGGCUACCUCUGCCUCGGGGUCUAGAGCAUCCAAAUAUCAGCAAUCCUGUAAAGUCUGCUCUGGGCUUUAGUUUCUUUCAUUAAAUCCCAGUAUUAACAUUUGCUAUCUGUCAUGGGGAGCUGGAAAAAGGAAUUCUAACAUUAAAGAACUUGAAUAUCUGAAUUUGCAUAGACAGAGCUAUUAAUCUCAUUCUCUGUCCUCUCCUAACUACAAUCCUGAGUCAGGGUCUUUCUGAACUAAUUCCAUUCCAUACAUUAUUUCAAAGUGUUUCUUUGUCUUUCCAUCUCAUUUUGGUUUCCCCUUUAAGAAAAUACACAAUUUCUCAUUUCUUAUUGUAUUCAGGUUCCAGUGAAAUGUUUUCAGACUAAAAAAGCAGAAAUUUUACCGUGACACUAGAACUGGAAACAUUUAUUUGAAUCUAUAUUAUCUAAAUAUUUUACAUCUGAGUUCCAAGACACAAGGAAAUAGUUUCUUUUCCUUGAAAUCAUAAUUACUACACUGAUAAUCCCUCAUUUUCAAUUUCACCAAUUUCCUGUUGGUAGAUUGAUUUUUAUCAUCAGUGUUUGGCCGGUUCAAUCAACUGUUCCUGUAGGAUAUUUUUCUGUGUUUCUAUGUAUUUUGUUAGUGAGGAAAACAAAAAUAAACACCCAAAACUACACAUUAAAUAAUCUAUCAGAAAUCUCAGGAGGUUGAAAAAGCCCGAUAUUUCUCUUACUCUUUUGUCAGUUUAGAAAUAAAAUACUAGAAUAGAGUUUCUUCUCCCCUCAAACUCAAUACAAUUUAUUUAACAGGGUGUCCUACUGCAAAUAAUUUAAGUACAUUGAAAAUAAAUAUUAGAUUUAUAUAAACAAGCAGAUUGAGUAACAUGAAGGGAGAUUUAACUGAAAUAAUCUUAUUGCAGGCACAAUUUAGACUUUGUUUUGGUUUACUUUAGAAGAUAUAUAUUUUUAAGUUAUGCUAUAUUAGGGAUUUCUUUGCACAUCAUUUAACAUUAAAAUAUAAAAUAAACAAGCAAGGUAAUGUCUUAUUGAAAUAUUUAUAAGUGGCUGACUCUGUGUCUGUGUGUACUUUCAGAGCUAUUCUGUAUCUCUAAGGAGAUGAAAAAUAAUUUAUUAUUAGUGCAUAUUCUUAUAAUCUAAAUUUCACCCCAGAACAAAGAAGUUUUGGCAACACAGUCUGUCUUGCACACUCUGCCAGGAAAAGAAUUGUCAGAUGUUUGCUUGUUUUCUAUUGGGUGUUCUUAACCUGAUGAAAGGCAAGGUGACCAUUUUCUCAUAACUAGAAUUUCAUGGUUUCGAGAAGUCACCAGGAGUCUUAAAUAUGUCUUCAGGUAGUCACCAUGUUUUCUAAAGGAAGUAUAUAAACUAAAUCAGGAGAAACUGGUCUGUCUCUUUACCCCAUUCCUGAAAUGAAAUUGGCAGCCCAUAUGCUGCUUCAAGAUCAGCAGUAAGUAAUGAUCAUAGUAUACCAUAUUCUGUAUUUCUGAAAAGAGAAAAUAACUGCACUUGGGUUUUUUUUUGGGGGGGGGAUGUAUUUUUUUUAACUCAGUGGCAAAACAACUCUUCUCUCAAGGAGAAUUUCAUCUUUUUGAAGAUGAAAAACUAAGGGCUGAGAAAUAUCUUAUUUCUUCACUUCAGAGGCAAAAAACGUACCAGAAGAACUUGGAAAAUUACAACAUAUUCAAUGUUUGAUCCAUUCUGUUCCCAGCCUUAAAAAGAAAUGAUUAAAUAUUCAUUUUGAAGUUAGCUUUGCAUGUAUGCUGUAGAUACAAGCCUGGUUGACAGAGUGGGUUCAGACUUGUAGACAUCUUUGUACAUGUAAGAAUAAAUAAACAAGAGGGCUAAGAAUAGAUGAGAAAGUGCAAACCUGUUUGUUGGGUUUUGCUGACAAACUCUCAGGAGUGACAUGUAAUACAUUGCACCUGAUGCAAAUUUAUUAUGGGGAGGUGGCUUUAAAUGUUUAAUGUGAUGGUACGGGGCAGUUUUUCUCAUUAGGGAUUAACACAGGAAACAGUUUACUUUGCCUGUGUAGCUGCUUUAGAUAAGUCACUUCUGAAUUUACUGCUUCAAAUACCAUAAGAUGAAACCUAGAAUAAGCCAUAACCUCUGGUAGAAGGCUAAUGAUCCACUCUUAUUUUACCUUUACACGCUACUUGCAGAGCUCUUGUGGAAACUGAAAUGCCCCUUUUUAGCAGAAAAUGAGUGGCAGAGGUUUGGUCACUCCUGAAAACAUUUUGUCAGGGAAGGAAUUCACAGUCAGACACAGAAAUCCUGGCCUUUGCCAGUGUGUUCACUGCAAAGUGAGAACACUCUGUCAGGGCUGCACUUCUGAGGAGCUACUGCAGUUCACGGAAUGGACUCAACGUUGGCUUUGAGGAAUUUACGUUCUCAGUUAAUGGAAGAAUGCCAUAAUUAGCAGAUUCAGCAGGAGAAAAGCAAUAUUAACUUGAGAACCCUUUCAAGUAGCCCAUUUAUUUAUUGUUCUUAAAAGAUGUCAUUAAACCCCUUCAUAAAGUAUGAGAAUUGCCCCACCAGAAUAUUAAUAUUAUUCUAUAACAAAACAAAUUUUGACCACAGUAUUUUCACCUUUGUCUUUUUUUCCUGUGCACUUUCUUCUGUGUAAUGAUGAGGAUUAGUUGGGAGGGCAGAGGCUCCUCAUUCAGAUCAAUGUGAUGUAAAGUCAAUGUCACUCCAAACCCAAUGAAAAAUGACUCAGGGUUGAUGGAGAAUUGCCAGUCCCAUCUGGUGGUGACACUUAUUCCCUAAGUGGAGUCUUAGCUGGCUGUACGUGAUUUUAUUUGGGAUGUACCUUCUGUAAUGGAGACAGAAAUGACAGCAUAGAUGUGAGAGCAUCUUCAUGCACUCCUUGCUGCUCUCUACAUCUCAGCCACUUUUCUUCAGCACAUUUUUCUUUUCUCCUUAUUCCUAAAUUCAGAUUUCAGUGUAGCUAAGAACUGCAGGAUGUAUUCCUCCUGUGUUAGGAUGAGAGCAGAAUCAUUGAAACAGCCCAGAAUGCAGGAGUGAAACUGAAUUAUGGCAAUUCACCUGGCAAUUCACCUGGCAAUUCACCUAAUACUUCACCCUUUAACUUCUAGGACCUUUCUGACACAGUAGCCUCAUAUUCUUUAAUUUCCCUUCUUUUGCAGGCUGAUGGGCUUGACUGCUUCAGGUAGCAGAAAUUAGGAUGCAAGAAUGGCCUGUGGCCUCACAGAGCAAAUGCUGGUGUGCUUCUUGUGGUGCUGUGCUUGCGAGCUGGAGGGUGCUUUUGCUGGAAUAUCAGCUAAGCAAUAUUUGUUUGAAAAUCAGAAAAGAUGACUCAGGUCUAAAGGCCCUAUCCCUGGGCAACAGUACUGGAAGGGAAAGCAAGCAAAACAAAAAGCAAUGAAUGUUAAUUGGCAAGUAUUUGAUACAUGAGAUUCUGGUUUUGUUGUCAAAAUAGCUUGAUAGCUACAAUUGCCAACGUUUCUCCAUGUUUUAGUUUCAGCUCUCUGGAGGAAAAGUUUUUGGGAGUAAAUGCCAAAGUGGUAGAAGUUUCAACAUAUGAAGGAUAAAGUAAUUGGGAGGUGGGGCAGGAAUGGGGGACAGAGGGUUAUUUAACAUGUGCUGGAAGAACUAACAUGGCAUGUGAAAUCCACAUUUCAGUACCUGUCCUGAAGCCUCUAGCUGCCACCAAGAAUGUACCUAAGACCUAAUUUGUGUCUAGACAAGCAGUGAAGACCAGCAGCUGUGAUUUCUCUAAGAGUUCAUGCUACCAUAGCACUCCACUGCAUUAUUCAUGUUUUCCUGAUGCAUGAAACAUUUGGUGUCAGAACAUCUUUCAAUUUAAAAAAAAAAAAAAAGUUUCAAAUAAGAGGGAGGGAGAGAGAAAGGACAAGACUUCUGUCCAAGAAAAGGACAUCAGAUCUUACACAGAACUGUCAUUAGCUGUGUUGGUAUAACUGGCAGUAUGACCAGGGAUCUUGAAUUCCUCACAGAAAUAAAACCAGAGCAGUUCACUUUCUGCUUCUUUGUUCUUCUUCUGCCUCUAUGUUGUUUGGCUUAAAGUGUUUCAGAAGAGCUAAGGAUGUCCUUGAAUUUCCAUUCUUUGCCAUCAGGUUAAAAUUCCUCCAGAUGGGGAUGUUUUUUCAGAGUGACACUGGGCCUUCGGCUCCCAGCAUUAUCCUGACAGCAUUGUUUGUUCCACAUUUCUCCAAUGUGAGAUGUUCUCCAACUUACUGCCUUUCCACAACACUUUGGCACAUUCUUUAUUUUCCUUUUUUCCUGAAAAACCUUCCAACUCCCCUUUCUCUGUAGGCUGCACAUUGUAACCUAUAUGAUACCUCUGCAUGCCUGCCCUAACAACUGGGCUCUUGAAUGAUAUUUAAAUGAUAGUUAUUAAUUUGGCCAUUUGGUUCUUCCCUGCUGAUCAGCUGUCAAAUAAAAAUUCUCACUUUACUGUACAUGUCUUUGAGUUGAUGCAGAUAUUUGAGCAUUUUCAGGAAAUGCUUUAGUGCAUUGAUUUUAUUGUCCAUGACUUUUUUUUUCUUUUUCUUUUUUUGGUGGUGAAAAAUGCCAUUCUGGGAGUAAGAGAUCAAAACCUCUCAAAUCUCCCCAGAACACCACAUAAACAUUGAGCAGUGCUAGUGGAAGUGUCCUGACAUGAGUUCAGCCUUUCUGCUCAUUCUAAAUCUGAAGAGAUCACUUUGACAUGGGGCAUUAAGUAGUUUCCUGUGGUGGUUUCUCAGUCCUUGGUCUCUGGUGAGACUGCAAAUAGAGGUGAGAAUUUCUGUCAGCUUUGAUUGUGUUUUGGAAGCUGCAGACGCUCAUUUUUUUAGGAAAUUGUGUAAUUUCUCUACAGCUUUCUUUUAGGAGCAGCUCACUUUCUCCACUCCAUCCUAGUGACUUGCAUGAAAACUAAUUAAUGAAACAGUCUAAUUAAGUCUAUUUUUUUUUUCUGGCAGAAAAUUAGAUUUUUUUUUUAGUAAUAGAUAUUAAAAAAAAUCAAGAUAAAUAUUUGCUUUCUGAACAGAUCUGGUAAGGUCUGAAUUGCCCCCAGAGAAAGUAAAAGGAAGGUGUCCAUGUUUUAGUAAUGAAAUAUUUGUCAUUUUUUUGGUAUCAAAACUGGACUGUGAGGUUUGGGGGUUUUUGGUAAUUCAACCCUUCCUCACUUUCUUCAGUAUCUUUUGUCAAUUUAUUGUCAAAGUACAUGGUACUCCACCAGAAUAUGGUGUCUAUUUGUUGCUAAGUAGAAAAAAACAAUAGAAAAACUUUGGGGCACUCCUUCUUUCUCUUCUCUUCUUUUCCUCUAUCUUGUUCUUUUCUACUGCAUCUGCUUUGAAUUUAAUUUUUUAUCUUCAUUUUAUUCCUGGGCUUAAUUUUCCCAGAAAUUUAGAGUAAGGCUCAGUCUAUGGGCAGUAUUCUGAAGAGACAUCUGUGUUGCAGUAAGAGUGGGGACUGUAUUCUCUGCUCAUGUUAACCCAGUUUGUGGUAGUGCAGCGCUUUGAAAUUUGCAGGGAAGACAACAGAGUUUGUGAUUUAGAGUAGUGAUGUUAGAGAUUAGCCCUUGUUGGAUUCAAGUUGUUAAAUCAGGUGAAAUUCACAGAUCACCUGUUUUAUCUCCUAUUUCAUUUGCCUAAUCUUACCCAGGCUGUCAACUUGUUCUGUGCAUAUAUGGACAAGGAAAGAGGAGAAAUUAAACAAGAUGCAAAGGAUUUUUUUUGUGUCCCUUCUGCUGGGAUUAUGGUUGAAAACUUCCUCCUAAUAUUCUUGCAAGAACAUUUUGUCUCUAAAGCUGAGGUUGCCUGGCAUGCUGUACAAGCUAUACUAUACUUCACUAUACAAUACUGUAAAGAAGAAAGACUCCAUAAUUUAAGAUUCCAAAUGGUCAAUUUAUUAACUGAACUAUUUAAUUUGACAUGAAAUUUUGAAGAAA